rnacentral:rRNA from 1 species
GAUGAAGGCUGGCGGCGUGCCUAAUACAUGCAAGUCGAGCGAACAGACGAGGAGCUUGCUCCUCUGACGUUAGCGGCGGACGGGUGAGUAACACGUGGAUAACCUACCUAUAAGACUGGGAUAACUUCGGGAAACCGGAGCUAAUACCGGAUAAUAUAUUGAACCGCAUGGUUCAAUAGUGAAAGACGGUUUUGCUGUCACUUAUAGAUGGAUCCGCGCCGCAUUAGCUAGUUGGUAAGGUAACGGCUUACCAAGGCAACGAUGCGUAGCCGACCUGAGAGGGUGAUCGGCCACACUGGAACUGAGACACGGUCCAGACUCCUACGGGAGGCAGCAGUAGGGAAUCUUCCGCAAUGGGCGAAAGCCUGACGGAGCAACGCCGCGUGAGUGAUGAAGGUCUUCGGAUCGUAAAACUCUGUUAUUAGGGAAGAACAAAUGUGUAAGUAACUAUGCACGUCUUGACGGUACCUAAUCAGAAAGCCACGGCUAACUACGUG